GCCCCGGUAAACGGCGGCCGUAACUAUAACGGUCCUAAGGUAGCGAAAUUCCUUGUCGGGUAAGUUCCGACCUGCACGAAUGGCGUAAUGAUGGCCAGGCUGUCUCCACCCGAGACUCAGUGAAAUUGAACUCGCUGUGAAGAUGCAGUGUACCCGCGGCAAGACGGAAAGACCCCGUGAACCUUUACUAUAGCUUGACACUGAACAUUGAGCCUUGAUGUGUAGGAUAGGUGGGAGGCUUUGAAGUGUGGACGCCAGUCUGCAUGGAGCCGACCUUGAAAUACCACCCUUUAAUGUUUGAUGUUCUAACGUUGGCCCGUAAUCCGGGUUGCGGACAGUGUCUGGUGGGUAGUUUGACUGGGGCGGUCUCCUCCUAAAGAGUAACGGAGGAGCACGAAGGUUGGCUAAUCCUGGUCGGACAUCAGGAGGUUAGUGCAAUGGCAUAAGCCAGCUUGACUGCGAGCGUGACGGCGCGAGCAGGUGCGAAAGCAGGUCAUAGUGAUCCGGUGGUUCUGAAUGGAAGGGCCAUCGCUCAACGGAUAAAAGGUACUCCGGGGAUAACAGGCUGAUACCGCCCAAGAGUUCAUAUCGACGGCGGUGUUUGGCACCUCGAUGUCGGCUCAUCACAUCCUGGGGCUGAAGUAGGUCCCAAGGGUAUGGCUGUUCGCCAUUUAAAGUGGUACGCGAGCUGGGUUUAGAACGUCGUGAGACAGUUCGGUCCCUAUCUGCCGUGGGCGCUGGAGAACUG
rnacentral:rRNA from 1 species